ACCGCAUCAAUUCACUGUCUAGACAGUACACUGUGAUGUUUGUAAUUUGUGACAUGACGAUGGCUGCCCUGAAACGCCAGUAAUUUGUUUUCGUCAAAGUGCUGUAGGUUGCCAUACUAGUAAGUCCCGGCAGUAGAUACGAAAGUUAUUGAUGCGUUUUGGAAAUCAGUUUGUUAGUGUUUAUAUGUGAGUAUUGUGAAACACCGAUACUGUGGAACAUUUCGUCCUCGAAAUUUAUAAUGAAAGUCGCUGAUUGUGUACGGCGUGAAGAUUGGAUGGGAUAUGAUCAACAGAAACAGUCUCCAGGCUGCCUGUGAAGCUGCAGCCCGUGUAAACGCUGUUCUAUUUGCGAAAGGGAAACUGAAACAAGCGGCGCCACAGUUGCCUAAGGUUGGAAACACUGUACGCACAACUGCUGAUCUCUUCACUUCUGAGUAUGAGAUAAAUGAUGUUCCUGUGGCAGCCCGAAAUCUGCUAACUAAGGGUCUCAUACAAGAAGAAAUAAACUUAUCUUCAGGUGCUGCAGUUUCCACACGCGGGAGGUAUUUGACUAUAGAAGAAAGACAAAGAAAUCCAGGCUUACGUCCACUGUACCUCCACGUCCAGGCUUCUUCAAAAGAAGCUGUUGACUUGGCUAUACAGAAGAUUGAGGAGCUAAUACAGCUCCACGUCCAAGGAAUGGAACAGUUACCACAUCAGGUUGGGAGGCCUAGCAAAUUCAAAAUGGGACCUCCACAACAGGGAAUGCCCCCACCUCUUAUGAGUUUACAUACAGCCAUACCUGGUGUGGAGAAGGUUCUGGUUGGACUAGAACAUGCCCCUCCAGCAUUUGAUUUACGCAACAGGCUUAUUGGUCAGAAUGGAACCAAUUUACUUUACAUACGUAAUGAAACAGGUGCCAUGGUGACACUCAGAGGUAAAGGAUCGGGUUUCAUUGAGCCAAACACUGGAACGGAAUCAAUGGAACCUCUUCAUUUGUGUGUGGAGCAUCCAAAAUACGAUAUUCUCCAAGCAGCUCGUCAGCUGGCGCAUAACCUUAUCGAAACAAUGCAGCAAGAGUAUGCUCAGUUUCAGCAACAACAGCAGCAGCAACAACAGCAGCAGCAGCAACAACAGAUGGUGAUGCAGCAUGCAACACAGAUGCAACAGAACAUGAAUAUGGGUGGCAUUGGACAACCAGGGGUUGUAACAGUACAACAAGACUUACCACAACAAGCUGGUAUCAUAGGAACUUCAGUGGCUAUGCCAGUUGUAUCAUCCGUCCCUACUGUUUUUACUGGGCAGCAAGUUCAGCAAGCAGUUGGACAGUUGAGUGGUCCACCUCCUCCAAUAAUGGGUGUGCCACCACCACACUUAAACCAGCAGAUGAUUCAGUCACAGCAACAGCAGCAUAUGUUGUCACAACAGCAGCAACCUCCACCAACAUCACAACCACAGCAGCAACAACCACAUCCACAACCUCAUUUACCACCAGUUCAAGUGCAACUUCCUCCACCUGGCCUACAUAUUCCGACACAUCAAGGUCCACUUGUCCCGCCCCAACAGCAUACCACGCAGCAGCAGCAGCAGCAGCAACAUCUACAGGCCAUUCUUCAACAGCAUCAUCAGAUGCAGCAGCAGCAGCAGCAUCAUCAGCAGCUCCAGCAGCCACCUCUCCAGGACCAGCAGGAAGCAGCACUCCAGCAUGUGCCACCUCAGCAGAUGUCCAUUCAUCUGCAGCAGCCGGUUUGUAACUCUCUUCAACCUGUUAUGCAGGCCGUGCUGCAACAGCAGCUCCAUCAUCAACAGCAGCAGCAGCAGCAACAGCAACAACACCAACAACAGCAGCAACAGCAGCAGCAGCAACAACCAUCACAGCAGCAUCAGUUGUUGCAGCAGCCCCCGCAGGUUCUGCUUCAGCCUCCACCAGGCCAACCCCAAGGGCUUGUGGCACAGAAUGGACAAGUUCUGAUGCUGCCCCAACAGCAACAUCUGCAAGGUCCUCACACAAUUCUACCGCCAACCGCAGUCCCGCCACCAGGACAGCAGCAGUUACCUCCUCCACAGUUUGGCAGCACAGUACUUGGUUCUCCAAGUCACAUGUAUCUCCCGCAGCAGGCUCAGCCGCAACAGCCACCCCUGCACCAAGGCCCCCAAAUGCAUCAACAACCCCCUGCUCCUGUCCCAGCUCCUGGACCUGAGCCCCCACAGCCAGUCCAACAUCCACAACAGCAGCAGCAACAGCAAUCACAACAGCAGCAACAGCAGCCUCAACAGCAACAGCAACCACCUCCUCAGCAUCAGCCUGCAUCACAAGGAUACCAACCACAGCAUGCCAUGGCUACAGUAUCAUAUCCUUACCAGUAUGUCCAGAAUUCUGGACCUCCCGCCAUGACAUAUCCAACUUUUAGCCGUCUGGACCAGCAGCAGCCUCCACAGCCGUUGCAGCAGCCUCAAGGUCAUGUCAUGCCAAUUCAGAAUCAGGGUCCACCAAUGCAGGGACAGUUGCCACCAAUGCAAGGCCAAACACUAUCAAUGCAAGGACAAACUCAGGCAUUGCAGAUGCAGAAUCAUAUGGCCCCUCUGCAAGGUCAUGUGCCCCCUGUUCAAAACCAAGGUCCACCACUUCAGAAUCAGGUUCUACCUGUACAAAGCCAAUGUCCUCCUGCACAAAACCAAGCACCUCCAGUUCAGAGUCAUGGAGGGAUGCAGUUGCAUAGCCAGGGGGCACUACAAAUUCCAAAUCAAAGUACUGUAACACUCCAGAAUCAAGGUGGUCCCCCUAAUCAGGUGACAGCAGUGCAAGGGCAGGGCCCUUUGCCAGUGCAGCAAGGUGCUGGUGUACCUCCUGUGCAAUGUCAAAAUCCCCAAUUGCAAGGCCAAGUAUCACUGCAAGGACAAGGCAGUUUGCAGAUGCAGAAUCAGAUGCAACAGCCACCUCAGGCAUUGCCUUGGCAGACACCAACCCAAGCUCAAUCCCAGCAGCACCAAGGAACGGUCACCUACCAGCAGCAACAUCACAUUCAGACACAACAAUCAGUGAAAACUGGGACCAAAGGAGGCCAGAAGAGAAGAUUCACAGAAGAAAGAGAGGAUUCAGGUGAUAACUUCCAGGGCCGUGUUAAUGUUGGCACUGUGACUGGUGGAAACAUACAGCAGUCACAACAGCAGCAACAGCAACAGCAGCAACAACAACAGUCAUCAGCCCAGCAGCAGCAACAAGCUGCACGACAGGGAAUGGGGACAGCACCUACAACAAUAUUUGUAAACACUGUAAGAGUGAAAGCAUCUCAAGAUGGAGACACAGGAAUGGAUGAAAUGAUGCAACGCCAGCAACAGCCUGAACAGCAGCAGCAGCCACAGCAGCAGCAGCAGCAACAACCACCACAGCAGCAACAACCGCAACAGCAGCAGCAACAACAGCAGCAGCAGCAGUCACAGUCACAGCAACAGCAGCAUCAACAGUCGCAGCCACAGAUACUCACAUCAAGUGAUAAACGGCAAGCAGAUCAGGAAACAACUCCAAACAAGAAGGUGAAAGGAGAAGGUUAUGAAGAGGACCAAGAAACAUCUGAGGCAAGUGCAGAACAUAAUACUGCUUCCAGUGGUAACAACAACAGCAACAACAAUGCUGUUACCAGUAGCUCCACAAGUGGCGGCAAUAGUAGUAGCAGCAGUAGUAGUACUACUAGUGCUAAUAAUAGUACUACUAUUCCAGUUCAGCUGACCUCCACUUCAGCUACCAGUCGUACGGAAUAUCACAGAAGAAGUGGAGGCAGUGAUCGUACAGAACAGAGAGACCGCACAGACAGAAGCACUGGGAAUAGUGGUGCAGAAAGACCUUCAUUCAACCAUUAUUCUUCCAAGCCUCAGAUGUAUAAUGCUAGCUUGCCGUUUCAUGUGCAUGGAAUCAACAUGUACACUUCUCCCCCUCCUCCACCCCAGCCAUCACAACCUCAGCAAACACCUCCACCACCCCCACCACCACCUCCCAACCCAUAUGGACCAUAUUAUAGCCCGCAGAGUCAGUACCAGUAUGCUCCAUAUUGGAUGAUGCCCCAGUAACACAAAUAUUUCCCGGCUGUCAGGCACUCUUCAUAUAUUGCACAGUGAUAAUACAUGUAUGUUUGUAAUGCUAUGAGAUUUAAAACCUUGUGACACUGCCAUCCAAUUGGAUGCUUAUAAUGAAACAAGUAGACAGCGUUAUGUUAUGGACACCACAAGAAUUAAAGCAGUGUGUAAGUGUUUGUGUUAUCCCACAGUUACUUCAAGUGUGUGUUUCCUGUACCUCUUUGCUGUUUGAUAUCACUUUCCCCACACCCUUAAACUACCGUGAUAUUUGUAUAGACACCAAUUAUCGAACUAUCAUAUGAUGACAAUUGCAGCAUUAUGAUAUUUGAAUUUAUAUAAUUUUUAUCUUUUUUUUUUUU
rnacentral:misc_RNA from 1 species